AUAAUUUUUUUUACCUAUUUUAUAAUCAGUGAACUUCUAAUUCUGUUUAACUUUUCCCCUUUUUCAGUCAUUAUCACCCUUUGAUCCUAGCAGAUUGUUUGGCUGGCAGUCUGCUAACACACUAGCUAUAGGAGAUGCAUGGAGUCAUCUCCCACAUUUCUCUAGCCCUGACCUGGUUAAUAAAUAUGCUAUAGUGGAACGUCUGAAUUUUGCUUAUUAUUUACAUAAUGGGCGGCCAUCAUUUGCAUUUGGUACUUUUCUGGUCCAGGAAUUAAUCAAGAGCAAGACUCCCAAGCAGCUGAUCCAGCAAGUAGGCAAUGAAGCCUAUGUUAUAGGGCUCUCCUCCUUCCACAUACCUUCAAUAGGAGCUGCAUGUGUUUGUUUCUUAGAAUUGCUUGGCCUUGACAGCCUCAAGCUCAGAGUUGAUAUGAAAGUGGCCAAUAUAAUUUUGAGCUACAAGUGCAGAAAUGAAGAUGCUCAGUACAGCUUUAUCAGAGAGUCUGUAGCCGAAAAACUAUCUAAACUA
rnacentral:lncRNA from 1 species